rnacentral:rRNA from 1 species
UACGUAGGGGGCGAGCGUUGUCCGGAAUUACUGGGCGUAAAGCGAGCGCAGGUGGUUUAAUAAGUCUGAUGUAAAAGGCAGUGGCUCAACCAUUGUGUGCAUUGGAAACUGUUAGACUUGAGUGCAGUAGAGGAGAGUGGAAUUCCAUGUGUAGCGGUGAAAUGCGUAGAUAUAUGGAGGAACACCGGUGGCGAAAGCGGCUCUCUGGACUGUAACUGACACUGAGGCUCGAAAGCGUGGGUAGCAAACAGG